GGCGGGGUAGCUCAGCGGUAGAGCACCGGGCUCAUAAUCCGGACCGCGCUGGUUCGAAUCCAGCUCCCGUCA
rnacentral:tRNA from 1 species